CUCUCGAAAACUGAACAUUAUUUGUCUCCUUCUGGAUAUUUCCAUUCUACACUAAUCAACAAGAAUUGCUUUAUUUUUUUCGAAAGCGAUGUACAUUUGUACAUAAUAUAUAUAUUUUUUCCGCAUUUGUUUAUUGUAACCACAUAGCUUUAGAGCAGUAAUUAAAGCAUAAGAAAGAAUAUCGCUGAAGCACGAAAUUCUUAGACAUUAUAUGUGUGCAUAUUCAGAUUUGGUUAGUAUGUGCAGUAGUUUCCAGAACACAAGAGAAAAAUCCAUAUGUAUGUGCUUAACCGGCUUACCCACCUUUCUCACGAAAUGAGGGUAGUUUUUGUAGCACAGUGAUGUAGACACUCGUGAGAAACCGUAGGAGCACGUAUACGAUGUAUGUAUAUAGUGUACUCGCUCCAACCCCAAUGCCGCAGACCCGAGAGACAGGCAGAUUUUUCCCGAACCCAGCGGUUGGGUAUAAAUAGAGCCGCCUCAGUCCGGUCACGUCACUCUCAAAUGAAAAGUGUUCAAGUGCAUUCAAAGUGAAGCUGAAAAAAUAACCAGUUAAAAAUAGUACAAAGAAAUUUUCUUUCUUGCAAUUUGCAAGCAGUAGCUACAACCAAAAAUGGAAAAGUGUAAAAAUCGUGUCCCAGCAGACGAGCAGCAGCAGUACGAGUAUUGCAAAAUGCAGGGGCAAGGGCCCACGUAGUAUUUUUCCACGUCGGGCAUUUAAUGCUCUCGAGUUGGAAACAAUGAAACCAUACGCAAACCCCCUGGAAAAGAUGUGAUUAGUCAUCGAUUUUGCUGGUCAGCGUCGGGGAAUUUCGCAAUGCAGCAGGCAGUUUUCUCAAAUUUGGCUAGAAAGUGACCCACUAGGCAGUCUGAGGCAGUUAUCCAGGAUGUAAGGAUGUGUGCAGUACUCUCUGUGUCGAAUGGCGAUGGCCCUGACCUGCGGAUUUUGAAAGAUUGAAAUAGGAAGCCAGUUGGGCGUUGAAAGUUGAUAUCGAUAUCGAUCCGUGAAAAGUCGAUACCCUGCGCAAGCAUGGGGCGGCAUAUGGGUGCUGAAAACGCACUCGGCCCGAUCCCGAUUGCAGCGUUAUUCGAAAGCUGUGUCUGCGACCGUGACUGAGAUCAUAUGCGUACAUAUAUCUAAUGUCCGGGGUCGUAGGCCAGCCAGGGUGCUCGAUUCUGUCAGAUUGAUUGUGCGGAUUGUGUUAUAGGAACACUGGUGUAUCGACUUCUCUGCUCCACUAUGGGUGAAGGAUACCCUACCGAAAAGGCCUUCUGUCGCUUACUAUCAUCGAACAAGUUCCGUAAAGGGCAGACAUACGUACACGUGGCAGCAUAUUACGUUCAAUGACACAUCGUCUCUGGAUUAGUAGUUGAACCAACGAGCUCGAAUAUACCCUGCCAGUUGGUUGUAAAUAUUAAUUUUGUUCUUAUAUUCAGUUGUAAAGUCAAUACGGAAGACAUUUCCACACCAACCAUGUGUCACUUAUGUUCUUAAAUACCAGAAACUGUUUAAAUUUUUGUUCUUAUACACUUCACCAAUUAAGAAUUACCUGUACUGAUGUAAGUGUACCUGUUGAAUCACAACAAAAAUAGAAAAAAUGAAUAACAAAAGAGCUCUAUAACAGAAAAGCCACAGAAAAAGUGAAUAAAAAUUCAAAAAUUCAAAAAAU
rnacentral:lncRNA from 1 species